AGUCGCUCCCUCCCGCGCUGGCUCUCUCUCCUCUGCGCGCGCGAACCCUCUCGCUCUCCAACCACCGGCGGUUGCAGUGCACGGCACGAUUCUGACGGCAGCCAACGCUGUCUGUGAUUUCAAAAGAAAGCUUCGCCCUCACUUUUUCUCUCUCUCUCCCGUUCUCCCACGUUUGUGCUGGUGUUGUGUCCACCGACUGGGAGAAAGAGCAGUUGAUUUGGGGCCUGUCUUUGGAAUAAGAAAUCAUUGCUGUUUCUGACUGGAACGAAGAAAGAUAAGACUCCUCUGGAUUUCUUUAGGAUUGUAAUUUUCUGGAUGCCUUGUUUCCGAGGAUUUGCAAACAUCUACCGGGAUAUAUAGUAAGUAGUAUUUGGAGUUAUGUUUGCAGUGUGUGCUUUGAUGAUGCUUGUGCGACAUCCAUGUUACUUUUUACGGGCUUGUGCAAGUAAAUCUGACACACGGGACGGUGCAUUUGUUUGUGGCCAGCGUUCUCGAAAUGUGGUGCUUCAAUUAACAUACCGAACUCUUACGCAUACGAAGAAGCAGUGUGCUGAUUGUGAGAAUUCUGUAUUUGGACAUUACAAGUUAAAAUCCCGAGGAGACACGGUUGUGGUAAUCUUGUGAAGCUAUCGGUUAGUUUUGACGAUGGACGUAGAAAUGCUGAGACCUACCCUCGAAUAGGUUUCUUAUCAGGACUUGGAUCGGCUCCGAAAUUCCAGUUGUGGUUGCACCUUGAGCAGCUCUGUCUGCUAGCACAAUAAGUCUUUGGGGAGACGAUGCUUAUUCCUAAUGGAAUGUAUGCUCUGUAUCUCGGCCAGUCCAGCUGAAAUUAACGGGCAGAAUGAGUAGCUUCACACAUACCUUGGGGGGCAUUUUUAAUCACAUGGUGUUAGGCCACACUAAAAGAGUGUGAGAAGUGUGUGUGUGUGUGUGCGCGUGUUCGUUCGUAUGUGCGCGCGUCUCUCGGGGGACUAAUUGGGUGGAGACCCACGGUGAACGAUGCGAAUGAGAUGCUUCUGUACAGCUGAACUUACUAUCCAAGCAAUUUUGUUCUUCGAAAGUCUCACAUUACAUUCAAUCUAAACCCACUGUUUAAAGUCAGGGCAUGGGAUUGACACCUCUCUCGGAGUAGGUGUAACAUCGGGAAUUGCUUUGUUGCAUUUUCUGCUAAUGGAAAAACGCAUUUGUGUGUGAUCCAAUCAUGUCUCUCAAUUUCGUUUUGAUUAAAUGUGCACAAUUCUCAGUGGAGGUGCAGCUAAAGUUAAUUAACGAAGACUAUGCGCAGCAGCUGCUCGGUAUUUUGGAACGCCUCUACCCCCGCACAGGCUUCCUGUUUAUUUGAUUAUUUCUUUGAAUUAUUUAAUUAUCACCUAAGUCCCGUGAAGUCUUAAUGGCUGCCAAUUAAAGGCGGAACCUGCGUGUCGGGCAGCUCAUAUAGACGUGUUACAUCAGCGGAGCUCUCGUCGGCUGUGAGGCGCUAUAUAGUGCAAACGAGCGGAGAGCGGAAUCUCACAUCCCCGCUCCCUUGAGGAAAGGGAAAGGGGAGGGGGGGCACUCCGGUGCAUAUUAAGAGUCCGGCCACUUGAAAUGAUAUUUAGCGAACC